rnacentral:tRNA from 1 species
GCUAUGGUGGUUCAGUGGUAGACUUCUCACCUCCCACAUGGGAAGUUCGGGUUUGAUUCCUGUCCAGUGCA